CGGGGUAACGGCCCACCAAGGCGACGAUCAGUAGCCGGCCUGAGAGGGUGAACGGCCACAUUGGGACUGAGAUACGGCCCAGACUCCUACGGGAGGCAGCAGUUAAGAAUCUUGCACAAUGGGGGCAACCCUGAUGCAGCGACGCCGCGUGGAUGAUGAAGGCUUUCGGGUUGUAAAGUCCAGUAAGCAGGGAAGAAUAAGCGCCGGGUAAUAUUCGGUGUGAUGACGGUACCUGCCUAAAGCCCCGGCUAACUACGUGCCAGCAGCCGCGGUAAUACGUAUGGGGCGAGCGUUGUUCGGAAUUAUUGGGCGUAAAGGGCGUCUAGGCGGGGGAUUAAGUUAGAUGUGAAAGCCAUGGGCUCAACCCAUGAACUGCAUCUAAGACUGGUUCUCUUGAGUUCGGGAGAGGAGAGCGGAAUUCCAGGUGUAGCGGUGAAAUGCGUAGAUAUCUGGAAGAACACCAGUGGCGAAGGCGGCUCUCUGGCCUAGAACUGACGCUGAAGCGCGAAAGCGUGGGGAGCGAACAGGAUUAGAUACCCUGGUAGUCCACGCUGUAAACGUUGUAUACUAGGUGUUAGCGGCUUGUCCGCUAGUGCCGAAGCAAACGCAUUAAGUAUACCGCCUGGGGAGUACGCCCGCAAGGGUGAAACUCAAAGAAAUUGACGGGGGCCCGCACAAGCGGAGGAGCAUGUGGUUUAAUUCGAUGAUACGCGAAAAACCUUACCUGGGCUUGAACUGUGCAUGACCGGCGUAGAGAUACGCUUUUCCUUCGGGACAUGUAUAGAGUGCUGCAUGCUGUCGUCAGCUC
rnacentral:rRNA from 1 species